AACGCACAUUGCGCCCCUUGGUAUUCCAUGGGGCAUGCCUGUUCGAGCGUCAUUUGUCUCUUCAAGCUUUGCUUGGUGUUGGGUGUUUGUCCUGCUCUAUGCGUGGACUCGCCUUAAAUCAAUUGGCAGCCGGUAAUCUGGUGUUAAGAGCGCAGCACAUUGUGCGCUCCUCGCUGUGUAUUGCGGCGUCCAUUAAGCCUAUAUUUCUUUGCUCUUGACCUCGGAUCAGGUAGGGAUACCCGCUGAACUUAA
rnacentral:misc_RNA from 1 species